GUAUAUUAAGUGGUUGCGGUUAAAAGCUCGUAGUUGGAUUUCUGUUUGGGGCGUCCGAUGUGCCUUCUGGGUUACAGCCGGUUCGGCCUGAGCAUCUUUCUGGGAAUCGUGUCUGCACUUGAUUGUGUGGCACGGGUUCCAGGACUUUUACUUUGAGGAAAUUAGAGUGUUUCAAGCAGGCGUCCGCCUUGAAUACGUUAGCAUGGAAUAAUGCGACAGGACCUCGGUCCAUUUUGUUGGUUUCUUGGGUUGAGGUAAUGAUUAACAGGGAUGGUUGGGGGCAUUCGUAUUUAACUGUCAGAGGUGAAAUUCUUGUAUUUGUUAAAGACGAACUACUGCGAAAGCAUUUGCCAAGGAUGUUUUCAUUGAUCAAGAAC
rnacentral:rRNA from 1 species